rnacentral:rRNA from 1 species
CACGUAGGGUGCAAGCGUUGUCCGGAUUCAUUGGGCGUAAAGGGUGCGUAGGUGGCGCUGUAAGUCGGGUGUGAAAUUUCGGAGCUUAACUCCGAAACUGCAUUCGAUACUGCGGUGCUUGAGGACUGGAGAGGAGACUGGAAUUCAUGGUGUAGCAGUGAAAUGCGUAGAGAUCAUGAGGAAGACCAGUGGCGAAGGCGGGUCUCUGGACAGUUCCUGACGCUGAGGCACGAAGGUCAGGGGAGCAAACGGG